AGAAAUUUAGGUUAACCUGAAACCAAGGGCCUUCAAAGCCCUUAAUAUGAGCAAUCACCUCUUAAUUUCUG
rnacentral:tRNA from 1 species